rnacentral:rRNA from 1 species
UACGUAGGGUGCGAGCGUUGUCCGGAAUUACUGGGCGUAAAGAGCUCGUAGGUGGUUUGUCGCGUUGUUCGUGAAAUCUCACGGCUUAACUGUGAGCGUGCGGGCGAUACGGGCAGACUGGAGUACUGUAGGGGAGACUGGAAUUCCUGGUGUAGCGGUGGAAUGCGCAGAUAUCAGGAGGAACACCGGUGGCGAAGGCGGGUCUCUGGGCAGUAACUGACGCUGAGGAGCGAAAGCCAGGGGAGCAAACGGG